GUGCGGGGGUCGCGGGGGUCCCGGAAAGACCAGCCGUCUCGUUUGGCGGCGCUCACAAGGAGGCCCCUUUGCGAGCCAAGGCCUAUCAGGGCAGGAGUGGAGAAGCCUCUGCAGCUUUGGCAGACUCUAGAGUGGGCCUUGAGAAGGACACUUUUCCUUAGACGCACCCACGUCUGAAAGCGGUGACUUCAAAGGAUUCGGGGGCUUUACAGGGGCUGGCAGGAAAUCGGUGUCUGGAGGCAGUCUGCUCUUUCCGCGUAACCUUGGGACAUCAAGCUGAGCCUGGACAUUUUUCCGUUACUCGACAUCCCUGGCGCCUUCAAAUGCAGAUGGAUGAACAGGGUUGCAACUGGGGCAUGCUGGAAGGCUUAAACUAAACAAAUCAAAUGUCUUUUGUUUCAUUUUGUUUUGAUACAGUGACUUAUGUAGCCUGGGCUGGUCUUCUACUCAAUAUGCAGCUAAGGCUGGCUAACCUCUGACCCCUGAUCCUCCUAAAUCCUGCAUCAUGGAGGAUGUGUGAGUUUUCCACAUAUAUAAAGAUUGCAUGAAUGAUAAUAGAUAUGUGCGUCUUCAGAUUAUGGCUUAAAGAUCAUCUUUCAUGCUUGACAUUGCUAGAUCAGGAUUAAGGGAGGCAACAUGGAAACAAGGUAAACAUGCAUUUCCAGAGCAGAACUGAUCUUAGAACAACUGAGGGGCCGCAGACUCCCCACAGAAGUGGAGGCUGUGCAACAUGGCAUGAGGGGGUUUGGUCCUUGGGAUGGAAAAGGGGGAACUUUGGGGAUUGAAGAGUCCGUUUGAGGUCAGUUCCCCUCCAGCGGGUUAAGUAGGUAGAGUUCCUGAUCAGAAGCCCUCACAGGUGCUGUUGUCGGCAACUCUCCUAUUUAGAGCAUCUCAGGCCUUUAGGUAAUAGAUCCUUCAAACACUGCUUCUUGGUGGCACGUCAAUUGCCUAUAUUGAGAGAUGACCCAAAAAAACUAAAUCUGAAGCCCUUGGAACACAUAAGGUCCCUACAACAGAUCCUGGCCAAUAAAGGCAGUCCCUGUACUGGAGGUGAGCCCUGAGCCCUUUGGAGGGAUUGUCUGUGUUUAAUCAGAUGAAAGUCUGCCUAUGGUUUUGUUGGCUAAACUCGCCUUACCUUGUAACAGAGCAAAUGCACUGUUGAAGAUUCCAGGGCCAGUGAAAUUAUUCAGUGAGUAAAGAUGCUUGCCACCAAGCCAGUUGACCAGAGUUCAGUCUCCAGAACCCACAAGAUGGCCCCCAGAGGGCCAACUCCUACAAAUUGUCUUUUGACUUUCACAUGCACACCAUGGAACAUACACACAUACUCACAUUAAAUAAAUAUAAUUUAAAAAGAAAAAGGUUCCAGAUACUGAGCAGUUAUACUGGGAGAUAAGACUCCCAGGCUAGGAAUAGAAAAAAACUGAGUUCAGGCACUGGACUCCUCUCUUCAGUCAGCCAUGGGCCCUACAGGUCUAACUUCAGUCUGGUGCCCUUGAGAUAGUCCUCCCACUGCAGAUAGGUCCUCCCCCUGUAUAGAUAGGUAAGCUGAGGCAAUGAUUGCUUACCCUGGAUGCCCUGGCCUACUCUGGGGACAUCUCCUUUCUCAGUCAGGGGCAGGGCUAGACAGUGCAGAGUUUCUCUACCUCGAAUUCUUGCUCAGACCACUUCAGGUUUAACUAGAAUCUGAAUCCUUGAUGGAGAACCUGCGGAAAAUUACCCAACUCUAUUCUAGGAACCUGAGGACAGGAUGUCAUAGCUAACUUAUCUUAGCGUCAGUUAAACUGCCUGUUUGGGCAGAACUCCUCCAGCUGCCAAGAUGCCAGGAAGUGGUUUUUGCCUUCAAAAACCCUAUGCGCUAGACACUGGCUCUAGCUACACCUAGGUCCCCAAACACUUGGGUGUAGUACCAGCCGGCUAGAAUAAAGUCUUUCAAUCAA